ensembl:snoRNA
ACAGCAAGCAGAUUGCUGAAGCUGUUGGUUUCAAACAGGAGCUUAAAGAAAUGCCUUUCUAUGGUCUAUUGACCAUUUCAGAACUUUGGACAUGUUAUGGUCCAUUCACUGGAAAGAAACACAG